CAUUGGUUGAAUCAUUGGGUGAACACAAUCUGUGAUGAAGACAGGCAACAUAUUGUCGGCUCAGGAGAUGUCAUGUUCCCUCUGUUCAGGAUCCUCAUCCAACUUCAAACACAUCAAGAAGGUCCAGCUGGAGAAGGUGUGACAUCCAUAGCGCCCUGUGGUGAUGGUCACCAGUUCUUUGUGGGCACAGAAGUGACACAGAUGUACCAUUUCAACUGCACUGACUUCAAAGAGGAGUUCAUCACCGGAUCACCACCAGUCAUAACAGCGCCGUGAACAAUCCUGGAAUGAUGGUAAGAUCUGUGGCUUCACUCCUGAGACUGGCAGGCUGAUGAUGACUGUGCACAACGCCCACAGCAUGGGUGUGAGUGACAGCCAUUGCCACCACCAGAGGCUGCAAGAGGAUUGCCAGCGGGAGGGGAGGGACAGGUAAAGAUCAAGAAGAUAAAGCACCAUGGAGAUAAAGAUAAACAACAAUGAUGGAGAUAAAGCACCAUGGAGAUAAAGAACCAUGGAGAUAAAGAUAAACAACAAUGAUGGAGAUAAAGCACCAUGGAGAUAAAGAACCAUGGAGAUAAAGAUAACAACAAUGAUGGAGAUAAAGCACCAUAGAGAUAAAGAUAAACAACAAUGAUGGAGAUAAAGCACCAUAGAGAUAAAGAUAAACAACAAUGAUGGAGAUAAAGAACCAUGAGCAUUACAAAGUACAAAUAGGGUCGCCGUUGAUAAUGGCAGACCCUGGCCGUGACCCCACUUUCCGAGGGUGUCUCAAGGAGAGUUGGGAUAUGCAAAAAUACACAUUUCCAAUUCACACAUGCAUWYUAAUACACGCUUGUACAUGCAUGAAAUAGGACAAAUAUCAGCACCCACCAAAUUAUUUGAUUAUAGAUACCUUUAUGCCUUAGAAGGUAAUUAGUGGGCAUGAAACCACUGCACUGUGUUAGGGCUACCAGAUAAACAACGUUUUCAAAACCACAAGCAUUGCA